AGUUUAAUUCUAUCUCAUUUGUUGGAAAACCUUUCUAUAAAAGCAAGACAUCAGUUUCUCCCUCAUAGUUGGGUUUUUAGUAGAAAUCCUGCUGUGAAGAUCAAGAGAGAGAAGAUGGACCUCUAAAAUGUGACUGGCCUCAGAAGCCUUCCCAUUUUGGGUGGAAAUGCAGUGCUACAGUGUUUGCCAGAAUGCACCAUAAUUCCAGUGUUCCAGGAGACGUUUCCUCUUGGCACUAAAGAUGGCCCAGGUCGUGGAUUACAUGAGAACUCCAAUGCAUAUUACUGAACUCCACUACUGUGAAUUCAGAUUGUAAUGGCUCAGACACAGUGUCUUCAUCCACCCAAGUGUUAGUCCCAAACGACUUGGUCUUGGCUGCUGGGUGGGUUUCAUGAAGCUUCCAUGAAACAUCUUCAAUCUGGGCAGUGGAUUUCUGCUCAGGUAGCACAUUGCUGAGCCAGGCUGUCUCUAGAAGCACUAAUCAUCCACAAAAUCACCACCAACUCUGCAAUAUUUUAGGCUGAUUGUGAGUCAAAUCUGUAUCUGCUGAGAAGUUAACUGAUGCACCCUCUAAUUAAGUCUCUGCAGCACCUUCCUCCUACAUAAAUGGGCUGGUGAAUUCCUGCUUGUUCCUGUGGCCACCCGUGCAACGGAGGGACCCAUCUGAGUGACAGUGACUAGAGUGUGAAACUUGAGAGCUGUGGCCUGAGGGUGGAAGGAGCUGUCUCUGCCCCAUGAGGCUCACCAAAAACAUUUCCUGAGUUAUGGAUGAGCAUUGCCUUACAAAACCCAGCCCUACACACUGAAAACUGUUCCAGUCUCAGCGCUGGCUCCUCAGUUUGUAAAGGUUUAUCUUAAUUCCACCAAGGUCUUGUUUGAGUUUGAAAAGCAAAAACAGCCAAAAGGAGAUUGUUUUGGAGAGAAGUGAUGGCCAACUUUGGAUAGCAGUCAAGGAAACCUCAGUGGGGUCAUGAUUCAAUUACAAGGAGCAGGGGCAGUAGGCUUGAUGUGAAGUCCACAGAAGUGAAGGGAUAAACCCUUAUCAGCUCUGGCCCAGCCCCUCACACAGCACACAGAGUCACUUAGGCUGAAAGAGGUAAACUGUUACAAGAUCUUCAAGGAACAAAGACUGAUUAAGGAUAAUCUUGUAGAAAAUGUUACAUUUUUUGGAUGUAUUUAACAUGGGAAAUGUUGGGUUGACAAGAAAAACAGCCUUUUGUAGCUGAGGAGGCAGCAGGAAAAGGAGUUGCCAAAAGAGCCGUCAAGACUCUCCAAGUAAUUUGAUGUGUAGAGAAAAUAUGUCAAGAUUAUUGCAACUGCAUAUAGUAUAAGUUUUUUAGAAGGAAGUCAGAUGCUCCACUACGCCUGGGAUGCCCACAGAGAUUACUCUGGCCUUAUCACUGCUUUUUUGGAAAAGAGUGAAGAUGAAUGGUGGGAAAGUGAGGACACUUCUUGACUUCUUCUCUUCUCUGCUUGUAGUGGAAAUCAGCCAAAAAUCCAGCUCAUAUGCCAAGAAAGCCCAAACGAAGAGAUGAGUGGAAAAUACCAGAUGCUUAAAUUUGUCUUGGAUUUUCUCAAAACUGCUAAGACUGGUUUUCUCCUUAAUUAGCCAAAUAAGGCAUGGAGUGCAUUUCUUUUUCAUGUACAGAUUUUUCUUGGAUCCUGUGGGUUAACCACCUCUAGAGCACUGCUGUCCCUGCCAGAGGAGGAGACAGAUGUGGCUUUCUUGGACAACAUGAAGAGGAGAGAAGUUUGCAGAGGACAUCCCAUCCUCCUCACCCUCACCCACUGCUGCCCUGCCAGGAUUCCCCCAAGACUGAAAUUCCUGAGACUGCUGUUGUCUGGAAGCCAGUUUACAUUUCUGUCCCGAGAAGGAAUUACUCUCAAGGCAUGAUUUUUUCCAACUAGACAAGAUUUAUUUUCAGUCCAAGAGUUGUCUUUUGUUCAGUGCUUAGUUUGUUGUGUCACUUGUAAUGACUACAGUAAUAUCUGGAAAAAGAGAUAACUAGAAAAGCUUGCAGCACUUGAUUAUUCUGCUCAGAAUAUCUGAUACAGCCCUUUCAGACAGCAGAUGUAAGUGGUAUGAAUGCAUACAAUUUCAUAGUAAUCUCAAUAUUCCAGUUAUUUCCAUAAUUUUAUACAAUAUACAGAUAUAUUAAUAUUAAUGUCACACUUAGAAAAAUGAAAUACAUGCAGGAUAGUUUAUGGUUUAAAACAAAUGGGUAUAAAGGUAAUGUUUAUAUUCAUAAUAUAUUAAAAUAAUAAUUUACUACUAAUAUUUAAAAUCCAUGUGUCAUAAUUUGGAAAAGAAACCCUACUUCAGAAUCUAAAAUAUUCCAAAAAUUUUAGGCUUCAUCACUGAUUUGAAGAUGCUUGUUAUGUAUUUUAUAUAUAUAUAUGCACAUAUAUAUACUCCUACACACACAAACAUAUAUGUAUGUAUACAUAUAUGUGUAUGUAUGUAUAUAUAUAUAUAAAAUAUAUUUGUUUCUCAGCGGGUUUUUUUAAACUACAGUCAGCCACCACAGAACUUCAGUGAAAGGAAGAAAACAGCCAUUUUCUGAGCAGGGGAAGUAAAUAUUUUCUUAUCCUUCAUGUGUUGUUACAAUAUCUUUAUAUCUGUGUGUUUAUUGAUAAAUCUUUCUUUUGCAGCUUCCUUUGUUCCCAAGCUUGGAUAAAAAAUUAUAACUACUUAAAAAAAUCUUAGAAUGUUGCAGUGCACUUUGUUUCACCUCAAAGGCUGAUUUAUGAAUUGCACAUGAAAGUGUUCCAUGUUUUCAUGUUAGUUUUUUAAGAUUUAAAUUUCCACAAAUAUUUACAACUACCCACUCUUUUCUCACAACUAAGAAGCAUAGAUAUAAAAAUCCACCCCCUCUGAUUUUCACACUCCUUAUCACAUAUUGAAUUAAAUUAGAAGGGAAAAUGGUAGAGAGAUUAAAUUGCAAUUAUAUUACUUUCUUCAAAUGAUCAUAAUUUGAUUUAAUAUCAAAUAAAAUAUUAAUAAAGUGCUAACUUUUCUUGGUGGGAAAUGCCAUUAAUGGAACAGUUUCCCAGGGAAACAGAAGCAAAGUGAUUAACUGUCCUUUUUGCUUCAGUAAUGAGAUCUUUCUAAAAUAAACAGUUUU